rnacentral:lncRNA from 1 species
CUGUAGCCACUCUUUCCUCAUUAGCUCUCCCCUAUUUGAGUUCCUCUCGUGCUCCGUCUUUUGUCAGACCGUUGUAUGUUGUGUAAUGCUUCGCUAGUGACUGUCCUGUCUUUCCCCCUCCCACUCGUUAUCUUUAAUUCUCUGUGUUCUGUCACACCUGUAGCCACUCUUUCCUCAUUAGCUCUCCCCUAUUUGAGUUCCUCUCGUGCUCCGUCUUUUGUCAGACCGUUGUAUGUUGUGUAAUGCUUUGCUAGUGACUGUCCUAUCUUGUUUGCCUAGCCCUGCCGUGUUAUGUUAUCUUAGGCUCCAAGUGUUUUGAUUUUUUGUUUCUGUCUAGAACUGUUCCCUCUCUUUCUACUAGACUUUACUGGUUUUUGCUUUCGGCCCUGGCAUCUCAUUUCUGUUGGGACCCUGAUACUGGACUCCAGCUCUUCUCUGCACUCUAAGCAUUCUCGUUCGGUGGGCCUUCGAUGCUGCGUCCCCAAAGAUGCUCAGAUUGGUGUGACUUUGACAUUGCAUCCCCAAUGACGCUCUGGUUGGUGUGACUUUGACGCUGCGUCACGGGAGGCGCUAGGAUCGGUCCCUGCUGAGAGGUUUCUUUUUGGCCGGUGCUCUUGGAGUGAUCCUUCAUUUUGGUUUUCCUUUUUUGCCCAGUGAGGGCGUAAUAAACUUUUUGUUACCUGCAAUUGAAUCCUGUAUUUUCCUGACAAACUCGUAUUACAGUAUUUCAGCUUUUUUGAAUGCUGACUGUACUUAACCCUCUGGAGUCUAAGGGUAUUUUUGGGGCCUGGAGAAGUUUUGUCAUGCCCUGACAUUUGUGCUUUUUUCAGUUUCUUAUAAAUAUCUAAAUGGCUAAAGUCUAAUCUCACUGUAAUCAGCACAAACUAGGCUAUAAUAAUAUGUGAGCAGCAUGUAUGUACAUGAUUGUGGUUUUGAGAAAAAAAAUGUUAUGCGUGGUUAGUGAAAAACUAAAAAUGUUAAAUCACUUGAAUAAGGCAAUAAAACACAUACAGAAAAUUGGUUCCCAGAUAUUUUGAGAACUGGAGCUUGUAGCCUAGAAUUUUUUUUCUAAAUGAUGUGAAAAUCAUCUUGUUUACUCACUUACAGAAAACAAUAUAUUGAUUUAAAUUUUCUAAGACACUUUUGUUGGU